rnacentral:rRNA from 1 species
UGGGGAAUAUUGGACAAUGGGCGCAAGCCUGAUCCAGCCAUGUCGCGUGAGUGAUGAAGGCCCUAGGGUUGUAAAGCUCUUUCACCGGUGAAGAUAAUGACGGUAACCGGAGAAGAAGCCCCGGCUAACUUCGUGCCAGCAGCCGCGGUAAUACGAAGGGGGCUAGCGUUGUUCGGAUUUACUGGGCGUAAAGCGCACGUAGGCGGACUUUUAAGUCAGGGGUGAAAUCCCGGGGCUCAACCCCGGAACUGCCUUUGAUACUGGAAGUCUUGAGUAUGGUAGAGGUGAGUGGAAUUCCGAGUGUAGAGGUGAAAUUCGUAGAUAUUCGGAGGAACACCAGUGGCGAAGGCGGCUCACUGGACCAUUACUGACGCUGAGGUGCGAAAGCGUGGGGAGCAAACAGG